ACGGUAACAGGAUGUGCUUGCACAUCGCUGACGAGUGGCGGACGGGCGAGUAAUGCUUGGGAACUUGCCUUUGCGAGGGGGAUAACAGUUGGAAACGACUGCUAAUACCGCAUAACGUCUUCGGACCAAACGGGGCUUAGGCUCCGGCGCAAAGAGAGGCCCAAGUGAGAUUAGCUAGUUGGUAGGGUAACGGCUUACCAAGGCAACGAUCUCUAGCUGUUCUGAGAGGAAGAUCAGCCACACUGGGACUGAGACACGGCCCAGACUCCUACGGGAGGCAGCAGUGGGGAAUAUUGCACAAUGGGGGAAACCCUGAUGCAGCCAUGCCGCGUGUGUGAAGAAGGCCUUCGGGUUGUAAAGCACUUUCAGUUGUGAGGAGAAGUUAGUAGUUAAUACCUGCUAGCCGUGACGUUAACAACAGAAGAAGCACCGGCUAACUCCGUGCCAGCAGCCGCGGUAAUACGGAGGGUGCGAGCGUUAAUCGGAAUUACUGGGCGUAAAGCGCACGCAGGCGGUUUGUUAAGCUAGAUGUGAAAGCCCCGGGCUCAACCUGGGAUGGUCAUUUAGAACUGGCAGACUAGAGUCUUGGAGAGGGGAGUGGAAUUCCAGGUGUAGCGGUGAAAUGCGUAGAUAUCUGGAGGAACAUCAGUGGCGAAGGCGACUCCCUGGCCAAAGACUGACGCUCAUGUGCGAAAGUGUGGGUAGCGAACAGGAUUAGAUACCCUGGUAGUCCACACCGUAAACGCUGUCUACUAGCUGUGUGUGCCUUUAAGGCGUGCGUAGCGAAGCUAACGCGAUAAGUAGACCGCCUGGGGAGUACGGC
rnacentral:rRNA from 1 species